rnacentral:rRNA from 1 species
CACGUAGGGCGCGAGCGUUGUCCGGAAUUAUUGGGCGUAAAGAGCUCGUAGGCGGCCUGUUGCGUCCGCUGUGAAAGCCCGGGGCUUAACCCCGGGUCGGCAGUGGAUACGGGCAGGCUAGAGGUAGGUAGGGGAGACUGGAAUUCCUGGUGUAGCGGUGAAAUGCGCAGAUAUCAGGAAGAACACCCGUGGCGAAGGCGGCUCUCUGGGACGGUACUGACGCUGAGACGCGAAAGCGUGGGGAGCGAACAGG